AGAGUAUUUUUGUCCAUGUGGCAGAAAACAAUAGAAAGAGCACUGGUGUUGGAGUCAGAAAACUGGCCUCUGUCCUCAGAUGAGAUGUGUCAUCAUGUGAAUCUGAGUUUCCUUGUUUGCAAAUGGAUAGGAUUCUCUGCCCCUCAUAGGAUGUUGUAGGAAUCAAACGCAAAUGAGAUGAUGCCUCUGAACAUUCUCCACACAUGGAAACUGCUAGUUAUAAUAGUUAUCGAGUGCCUUCUUGAUGCGAGGCGUUAGUUCUAAGAACUUCACAUGAAUCAACUCAUUUCAUCUUUAUCACAACACUGUGAGAUACUGUGAGAUACCUGUGGCGCUGUUAGUACCCUCACUUCUAGAUGAGGCAACUAAGAUACCAGCCCAAGACCACUCAGCCAGGAACUGGAAGCCCUCAGAUACAAGCCAAACAGUCUAGCUAUUGCUGAGCCUACACUGCAGCGACCGCCCAUGUGCUCCUGAGUGUCACUGUCGCACCACUGAAUGCAACGUACUCAAGCCUGUCAGUGUUUGGGUGGACGGUGGGGUGCUAUUGGCAUUGACGUCAGACCAAAGGCUGAUUUCAAAACUUGUACCAGGCCCGCGAUUAUUGCUUAUGUUUGUCUGAAGCCAUUGGUAGGAAUGUUUCUUCAGAUUUGUGACCCAUGACGCUGUCACAGAAGGGGAAACUAAGGCUGAGAGGUGAAGAGCCUUAGACCGUGGUCACCUAGCUAGGAAGUAAAGUAGCAUGGGUGGGAUUUGAACCAAGUCCCCAGAACCCACGUAUUUGCCCUCACAGCAGGCCACCUCUUCUUGUCUGUGCAUCCUGCUUAGAGCCUGGGACAGGGCAGGCUGGACACUGGGACAACGUGAAGAACAUAUUUUUCUCUUGCCACUCGAGGUUCCACAUGAAGAAAAAGCAAUCAUUUUUGUUUUGUUUUUAUUUACUCUGAGAGAGAGAUAGAGAGUAAGUGGGGGAAGGGCAGAGAGAGAGGAAGAGACAGAAUUCCAAACACCAGUGCUGACAGCACAGAGCCUGAUGUGGCGCUCGAACUCACAAACCGCGAGAUCACGACCUGAGCCGAAAUCGAGAGUCAGACGCUCAACCGACUGAGCCCCCCGGGCGCCCCAAAAGUAGUAGUUGAAUGAUAUGGCUAUGGCAAGGCAGACAGACCAUUUUGGAGGACAGGUUACUGUCCUGGAAGGGAAGAUGCAGACAGGACUCAACAGUGGGGGCCGGGUCAAGGGGGCGUGCAGUGAUCAGAGGGCAUCAGAGGACACGGGAGGCGAACUUGGCCUAUUCCUCAGGCCAGCCUGGUGUUGAGAAGAGGUUUGAAAUGAGUGUGUUUACCUUGCCACGGCCCUUCCUGCAAGGCAGCGUGGCCCUGGUGAACAUAGCAGUGUGGCUCCUCAGAUGGGAUCUGGUCUCUGGGCUCACCUCGGUAUGUCUACAAGUCCCAUACGCUGUGGCUCAGAAGGAUGGAAACACGUUUUUCUUUGAAUGGACAGGUCCACACCCCACCCAUGCUAUUUAAAAUCAGAGUGGGCCAAAACAGCACGCUGGGAUCCCAAACCCCAGUGGUUUUCAUUCUGGCCCCCGAAUCCAGGGGAAUGAUUUCCAAAACCUCUUUCAGUUGCCCAAACAUGGCGUCCACCUUAAACCAUCUAAAGAUGUUCAGAAUAGCCCCAGACGGGAGCCCAGAGCAUUUGGGGCAACUUGGGAGCUCAACUGAGUCACAGCUUUGACUUCUUUUAGGUCAAGACUAUUCAUCUAAAUAAGGCACAAGAGAAGCUGGUGUUUUAAGCUGUCAGGACAGACGAAAAUAGCUCCCCAGCCUCCCUGGAGUCUGCCUUUCCACCUCAGCACCUGACACAGAAGUCACCAGGCCUGCAGCCAGAGAUCUGUAAUCCAAACUGUGGUGAAGGGGAAUAACCGCCAAGGAGGCUCCUCUGUUAGCUUUGGAUCGCCAAGUGAGGACGGGCCUCUGGCCGCCGGACUCUGGCUUGGCCCACAGACCUCAAAUGUCUGAGACGGGAACGAUGACAUGUGUGGGGCUCUGAUCACCAGCCUCGGAGGGCACUCGCUGACCAAACGGGAUGGCGUGCCAUGAGCCGUGGGCGUGGGGGAGGCCUGGGUCUGGCCGGUGAACAACAGUAGCUGCCUUUUCUGGAGCACCUGCCUGGUAGAGAUUUACAUUAGAGACUCCUUGCUAAGGUCAGGUUGGACAGAGGAACCAUCCUGAGCAGAGGAACAAAUUGGAGACCAAGAGUGGCUCUCCUGAUUCAGCUCCGUGAGGACAGCACUAAGUCUGUCCCCUUCACUGUCCUUCCCGACACUCAAACAGUGCCCAGCCCAGGGUAGAAAUAGCACAUUGUUACUGAGUGGACUCGACCUCCCCUCGUGGGGCUAUUGGCGUCAGAGUACUUUCUUGGAAAUACCGGACACGUCAGCCCCCGUUCUGUGGAGAAACGUUAGUUCUUUAGUUUCUCUAUCUGUAAAAUGGGCGUAAGGCUCCCCUGCCUCUUUCCCAUGGUUGCUGCAAUGAAUGCGGGAAAUAUCUGAAGUCUGGAAGCAUCUUAUAAGCGUAAGGGGUCAGGACCGUUGCCGAUGAGGGAACCUCUGCUCAGAUCUGUUGUCCCCGACGUUGAAAGCAGUCAGAACCUGAAAGCAUGUCAGAGAUUCGAGAUGCCCUUUCGAUUGUGAAAGAUGGUAUACUAAAGGACUUUCUCACCUUCGGGUUUCCAUUAUAGCGCUGCACUGUGGCCACCCCUGCGAUGACAGUGUUGGAUUCACAUCCACCAGAGGGACAACCAACCACCAUUAUGAAGAAAUCCAAGCCCAGAGACUUCAAGUAACUUUCCCAAGAUCACCAGCAGACACCGGGGAUUUCUCCAGCAGCAAAGAGGAAGAAGCAAAGAGGUGUGUAACAGGUUGGAGCCAUCUAUAAGCUGCCAUCCGGGACAGCCGGCUGCACCUGAAGUAAAUGAGAUCAAUGAAAGGAACCGAGGUGUGCCCACUGCCAGGGAUAAACUGGAAUGACCAAGUGGUUAAGGUUAGUUUGCAGCAAUCACACGGGAGCUGAGCCCUCCAAACCACUGCUGUUCUUUUCAAAGGAAGCACCUUGGAGGACUCCACUUCCUGCACUGGGCGUCGCAACCUGGCACAUCGGAACCACUGGGAAACUUUAAUACACUGAUGCCGGGCCCGACCUGCCAAGAUUCAAUUGAGUUGGGCAGGCAGGGCCAAGGCAUGGGGAUUUUUCACAUCUCACCGGGCGGUUCUAACAUGCAGAGGGUUGAGAAUCACCGCCCUGGGCCGAGCCUUUUGGGAACUCUUCCUGUAGAAAUGCCUUCAAAGUCUGUGGCACUUUCCUUUGAAUCUUAUCAAUAGUAACCAAUCUUCUUCCUUUAAAGAUAGAUUGGGGUUUUUGAAAAACAGGCGAAGUCAUUCAGAGCUGGACCUGUGGAGUAAGAACGAGAUACUCUUCUUUGUCCCAAAUAAGAUGAGAAACCUCAAAAAUGCACCUGGAUCCCAUGUGUGGCUCUGCAGGGGGUUUCAAAGGCAAUAAUGCACUAAGCACCUGCCAUACGCCAGGGGCGGGGCUGGGGCCAAAGCUGUCAAGAUCAGAGCUGGUCCUCCGGGUGAGUGGGAACCAGGACCCAGGCCUUGGAUUCCCUGUCACUAGGGCUUGCUCACACUGGCCUCCCUUUGAGGGACUUUGCCAAAUGCCCCAUCCCUCUCCUGCCACAUGGAGUUGUGGCAUCUAAACGCUCCUGGUUUCUGGGGCAAAGAUGCUCUGCAACCAACAUCUCACCAAGCUACAUUUGAUCCUGAGCUGUGGCCUGAGGUUGAGGGUGGGCGACUUCCCAUCCCUUCCUCUGUGCCCACCCAUAGAUGCCACAGGCCCUGCCCAUCUUGCCUCAUCCCUUGAUGGAGUCUUCCCAGAAGUAGGUUCCAGAAUGGGAAUCAAGGUGUCAGGAAUAAAACUCUGGGACACAAUGACAAAGGGAAAGGGAGGACCUGACUUAGCCUUUCUUAGUAAUGCCAUGGUUUUUUUUUUCCCAAAGAAUUGUGGGUUUUGUUUGUUUGUUUGUUUUAAUGUUUAUUUAUUUUUGAGAGAGAGAGAGCACAAGCAGG